GCCCGGUUAGCUCAGCUGGUUAGAGCGUCGUACUAAUAUAUGAUGCGAAGGUCAACAGUUCAAUCCUGUUACUGGGCA